rnacentral:rRNA from 1 species
UACGUAGGGUGCGAGCGUUGUCCGGAAUUACUGGGCGUAAAGAGCUCGUAGGUGGUUUGUCGCGUUGUUCGUGAAAACCGGGGGCUUAACCCUCGGCGUGCGGGCGAUACGGGCAGACGUGGAGUACUGCAGGGGAGACUGGAAUUCCUGGUGUAGCGGUGAAAUGCGUAGGAUAUCGGGGAGGAAUACCUAUGGCGAAAGGCAGGUUACUGGGCCAUUACUGACACUGACGCGCGAAAGCUAGGGGAG